GGUCCUUAUAGCUCAGUGGUAAAGCUGGUACUUAGCAUGCACAAGGAUUUGGGUUCAAUCCCCAGCACCA
rnacentral:tRNA from 1 species